CCUACGGGUGGCUGCAGGGAGGAAUAUUGGGCAAUGGGGGAAACCCUGACCCAGCAACGCCGCGUGAAGGAAGAAGGCCUUCGGGUUGUAAACUUCUGUGACAGGGGACGAAAGAAAUGACGGUACCCUGAGAGGAAGCCACGGCAAACUACGUGCCAGCAGCCGCGGUCAUACGUAGGUGGCGAGCGAUUUCCGGAAUCACUGGGCGUAAAGGGCGCGUAGGCGGCGGUACAAGUCGCAUGUGAAAUACCAGGGCGCAACCCUGGGGGGGCAUGCGAAACUGUAUUGCUUGAGUGCAGUAGAGGGAAGCGGAAUUCCUGGUGUAGCGGUAAAAUGCGUAGAGAUCAGGAGGAACACCGGUGGCGAAGGCGGCUUCCUGGGCUGUAACUGACGCUGAUGCGCGAAAGCGUGGGGAGCAAACAGGAUUAGAUACCCUAGUAGUC
rnacentral:rRNA from 1 species